rnacentral:rRNA from 1 species
GACGAACCGUGCGAACGUUGUUCGGAAUCACUGGGCUUAAAGGGCGCGUAGGCGGGCCGGCAAGUCAGGGGUGAAAUCCCACGGCUCAACCGUGGAAGUGCCUUUGAUACUGUCGGCCUCGAGGGAGGUAGGGGCGUGCGGAACUUCCGGUGGAGCGGUGAAAUGCGUAGAUAUCGGAAGGAACACCGGUGGCGAAAGCGGCGCGCUGGACCUCUUCUGACGCUGAGGCGCGAAAGCCAGGGGAGCAAACGGGG